rnacentral:rRNA from 1 species
UACGUAGGGUGCAAGCGUUACUCGGAAUUACUGGGCGUAAAGGGUGCGUAGGCGGUUCGUUAAGUCUGUCGUGAAAUCCCCGGGCUCAACCUGGGAAUGGCGAUGGAUACUGGCGAGCUAGAGUGUGUCAGAGGAAGGUGGAAUUCCCGGUGUAGCAGUGAAAUGCGUAGAGAUCGGGAGGAACACCAGUGGCGAAGGCGGCCUUCUGGACCAAUACUGACGCUCAUGCACGAAAGCGUGGGGAGCAAACAGG